CCCCUCCCACUCUCUCCCCCCAUUACUUCUCCCUCUCUCCCGCUGAACCCUAGCCGCCGCCUCACUCGAAUCUGCUUCUACCUUCCCUCAUCUCUACGACCGGCGUUUCUCACGGCGAAUCGGUGACCAUCACGACGAUGGAAUUCCGGUGCAUACCCAACAAAUUCAUUUUGGUGGCAAAACCAUUUCAAUUUAUGUUUGAUUUCGACUGCGGGGUGAAAGAUUCAACGAGUGCAAGAAUCGAUUCGAGGAUGACUUUGACGAUGAUAUGCCCAUUGCAGUAAUGCAACGACAAGCUUUAAAGAUGUGCUACAUUAUUAUUUUGUUGUAGAUUAUAUUAGUGCGAAAAUUGUAUUUUAAUAUAGACUAUAAUUUCUUUGAUGAAGGAAAGAACUUAUAUUCAUUCCCCAAGGGUUUAAUAGUCCAUGGGGCUAGGGUGUAGUACCAACCCAGUAGCGCAACGCUCAUUAAGGGCAAGGAGUUAUAGUCGUUCUUGUAGAAUUCAAUUAUUUUAUUGUUUUGUGGAGUA